UGUCAGUGAAUCGUCGAUGUCCAACGUAAUUGAACUAAAAACGGUUUGUAAAUAGUAAUUUUAAUCAAUACUACUCUUGAAAAUCGCCUUGAAUAGUACACAAAUAUAUUAUAGGGCACUAAAUUACAAAACCAAACAGUUUUAUUGAAAUGCUUACAAAUUACUAAAGUCUAAAACGACAAGUACCUACCAAAACAACAGUAAGGGACUUAUUAAGGAACAUAAUUUCGUGAAAAUAUCUUGGACAAUACGAUCACAAAUGUAUAUUUACAUUAUUUAUAAUUUCAGUACUUUUCUAUACAAAUAUUGUCAAGAACAGGCUUCACAGUUAGAUUGAUAACCAUACUAGACAAUUUAUCCUUGUGCAAGGGGCAACAAAAUAACGAAUUUUCCUUCAAAUGAGGAUAUAAGCACUGAAAUGCUUGAUAUAAUGGCAUUUUAUAUUUUAAAAAAGUUUCGUUAGGAUAUGUUAGACCUCCACGAUCUUGCAAGAAUAUCAAACGGAGCAAAGGCCCUGGAAGUGUUGUGGAAACUAAUGGUGAUACACACACGUCACACUUUAAUUUAUCAUUCAGUUUCUUAAUUAUGUAACCUGCUAGGAACGCUACUGACGCAGAAUAUAUUGUAUUGUUAGCAGGCAUGUUUGUCUUCAAAUUUUGAAUUUUCAUUCUUAACUGAAAAGUUUCAGAAAUAUUUGCCGAG